rnacentral:rRNA from 1 species
UGCGAAACUCGAAUGAACGAACGGAGAGAUUCAUCGUUUAUCUCGGGCGCGUCUGCGUCCCCUAUCGAUGUGGACGGCGCUCGCGCCGUGCCGCACGAUGGGCGUAGACCUAGGCGUCCCGGGACGGCGUGCACUUCUCUCUUAGUAAUACAUCGCGACCCGUUCGAUGUCGGUCUAAGCUCCGUUCGGGAGUCGUCUCGUCGCACCCUCACCGGUCGACGGGUCGACCGUGACGGUAGCCGACCGGCCGUCGGACGGUAUAACAACGAAACGCGUACGCGUUAACGCGCGUCCGGCCCGACGCAAGGCAUGUGUCGUAUCCACCGUUCUGCCCGAGUGCGGACGGAGGUGCGGCGCGCCUGCAUAUUAUAUGUCGCUGCCGUGCAGUCUCGGACUGUACGCGUCUCCGUCUGCGAUGAUUCAGUUUCGG